UAAUACAUGCAAGUCGAACGAAGUAGCAAUACUUAGUGGCAGACGGGUGAGUAACAUGUAGGUAUCUGCCCUUUGGCCUGGAAUAACACGAGGAAACUUGUGCUAAUACCGGAUAAGUCUUUACGGAGAAAGCUUUAUGCACCAUUGGAUGAGCCUGCACUUGAUUAGUUUGUUGGUGGGGUAAUGGCCUACCAAGACUGUGAUCAAUAGCUGAUUUGAGAGGAUGAUCAGCCACAUUGGGACUGAGACACGGCCCAAACUCCUACGGGAGGCAGCAGUAGGGAAUCUUGCACAAUGGAGGAAACUCUGAUGCAGCGAUGCCGCGUGAGUGAAGAAGGCCUUUGGGUUGUAAAGCUCUUUCGUCGUGGAAGAAAAUG
rnacentral:rRNA from 1 species